AGGAGGCGAGGGAGGAAGGAAGGCAGGCAGUGGAAACAAGUGAUCUCUUCAUUGCUUUUCUUUAUUUCUCUAUUCAGUAGGGUUAUAAAUGUCACUUCCCUCCUAAUGUAUCUGGAGGUUGAAGUGUUCCUGCUACUGGAAAGGUUCACGUGACUCAAGCAGCUAUCCCAAGCAGAAGUGGAAAAAUAUUCAGAAGCAUCAGCAGAGUUUAGAUACUCAGCAGCAGGAAAAGCCUGGAAACACAGGAUGCAGUGGAGGUUUUCUCUACAAAUGAUUAAAUGCACACUUCAGCGUGAGAGAGGGAAUUGCAUCUUGUUGAGGACAAGAAAGAAGUGGCCCUGAAGUUUUUUUGAGAGGCACAAUCAAGAACACAGCUUCAGUGAAGGGCCAUGAAUAAAGAGCACUUUACACAA